ACACCCCCCCCCAAAAAAAAAACAAAGAAAAGAAAGAUCUGGGCUAGAAAUGGGCCUUCCCACUUCAAAUGAUUUAAUUAAGAAACAAGAAAAGUAAAUUUACCUUUCUCUCCCUGUUUCCCACCCCUUUUAAAGGGGGAAUUGUAUGGGGCAACUUUAUGAGAUAAAUGACCUAAGCCAUUAUUUCAAAUAUGUAAUUAUUAAAUGUUAGUGUAUAAAUGGGAGAGUUGUGGAUAGAAACAACUGAAACAUGCCUUGGAGUAUAAGGAAUAAUAUACUAAACCAGCACAGUGCUGAUGCAUGAAAGCUUCUUGGUAAAUUUCUGCCAACAGAUUUUGCCGUGCCAGAGGCAGGAUAUUGUGUGACUAGUCAUGGUGACAUAUACCAGCAGUCUAUGCUUAUGGGAGGUAGAGACAGGAAGGUCACAAGUCUCAGACCAACUCUGUUUAGUGAGAGUCUGUCUACUCCCAAAAAACACCCUCCAACCCCCAGUGUUAAGAGAGUCAUUAGCCAGCUGUUGGUGGGGCACACCUUUAACCCAGCACUAGGGAGGUAGAGGCAGGUGUAUCUCUGUGAGUUCAAGACCAGCCUGGUCUACAAGAGCUAGUUCCAGGACAGCCUCCAAAGCUACAGAGAAACCCUGUCUCGAAAAAACAAAAAUAAACAAAAAAGUCAUUAAACUGAAGUUAAGUGUACAGCCAAAGUCCAGUAAUUAAAAAGUGCUAUGUAGGGAGACACCCUAGCCCCGCCCAAUAGCAACUCGGACAGGUGCCAGGUGGACCCGGGAUCUGGGCGGGAAGAUUCUUAAGGGCUGCACGUGGAGACCUUGGCCCCCUUCUCUCUAGCCAGGCUAGCUUGGUUCCUGUAAGCUUGCUCUGGCCUGUGUUUUGCUCUGGUGUUUUCCUGAAUAAAGAAAUCUUACCAUCACGGACUAUAGGUCAUCUCUGAGCGCACGUGGUAAUCUUAAAAGUGCUAACUAUAGAUGAAAACCUUCCCACAUUUAUUGUGUCUGAAUGAUGGGAUUACACAUGUUCUUUGCACAUCAGAUCUGUACUCAUGGCAAAAAUAGACUUUUUCUUGAUCUUUGUAAAAACAGGCAGUGCUUCUUUUCCUCAGUACCAUGUUAACCAAAAACACCUGUGAGUCAGAAUGGUACCCUUGGGUUUGUGGCCUUGGAUCACCUGUGGCUGGGCCCUUGCGCUUGGGAGCCCCUGCUUUAGCAUCAAGAGUAGCUGGCAUCACAAGAGUGAGCCAUGACCAGGCCUCAGCUGAUCUCUAAAUCAGAUCAUAAACUUUUGUCUUAUACCAGAAGUUAUAUAGUUUCCACUUUUUUACACUCACCUUGUUUCCGGCCAAAAGGAAAAAAUAUAUAUAAGAUUUACUCUACUGCAUGUUUUACCUUCCCUUAAACUUGGGAGGUGUCACACAUCCAGUUCUUUUUCUGGCUUGUAAACCCUUCUGUGUUCUUCAGCUAACAGCCAUAGGCACACGAAAACAAAUAGCACAAGAUACUUUGUUUCUUCUGUGGUUACUGAUUUAGUGUGUGUGUGUGGUGGUGGGAGGUAUUAACUGUGGGGAACAGUAAACCUUUCCCUGGGCUUGCUAUUUCUGUAUCCUCAACACCUAGCAAAGUGCCUGCCUAACCACCUAGUAGAUGUUUAAUAAAUAUUUCUGAGAUAAGUUUUGUCUAAGUUUUCUGAACCUGUUCUUGACAAUGAAGAUUGUGUGUCUUACUUAAUCAUGUUCUUAGGUGUAUGUGAAACACAAUAGUUGCCAUUCAUGUCCAUGCUAAUCUUGAUCUUAAUCUCUCCACUAUCAUUUUCCUUUUCCCUAAAUAAUUACUUCUGCUCAGUUCUAUUUUUAAAAUAUUCCCAGGAAAUACUGGUAAGCCAAAUUUAAUACAGUUUAACUUUUACAAAAGCCUCUGAUAAUUUACAAAGUAAAUAGUUGACUUCUAUUCAUAGUUUCACAAUAUUAUUGAGGAUAUUUAAAAUCUGUACUAGAAAGAACAGACAGAAAUAAGUCUCAGAAUAUAAAGUACUGCUUUAAACUUGAUUCUUGUCUGAUAGCUAUAUUUUAAUCAAAAAACUGGGAAAAAAUCUUUGGAACCAACUUAUGAAGAAAAUACCUAUUAAGAUUUAAAUCAAAUCCAGCACUUGGGAGGUGGAGGAAGGAAAAUCGGAGGUUCAAGAUCACCCUAGGCUAUAUACUGAAUUCCAGGCCAGCCUGGGCUACAGGAAACCCUGUCUCAAAUUAACAAGAGUUUAGAUAAUUGAGGUAAGAAGACUAGUGUGAAUUUAACAUGCUUCAUGUCUUAUUUGAGUGACUGUGAUAUAUCACAGAACAUGCCUUCAGUAUGUGCCUUUAUUCAUGUGUUAAUGGAAUGUUAACACUGCUUUGAACACUAGGAUUGUAUAUGUUGAGCAAGAAAUCCUGUAAAAAAAAGAUUACUAUAUUUUCAAACUUUACUGGAAAAAAUGUAAAUGAAUGGAAUAUUUUCAAUUCUAAAUUUUUCCUCCAAAUGUUUGAUUCUCUUUGCAUGUACUUGCUUUUACGUAAGGUUCAUAUAUUAUUUAGGAUAAAGUCUGAUAAAUUACUGUUUUGAUGUUUGAAUCAGGUGUUCUACAUCAAGGGCAUCUCACUUUCCAAGUGUGUUUAGAAGCAUGACUAAAUUCCCUAGACCUCAUCAAACAUAAAUAUCAGGUAGUCUUAUGGAAGGCACCUGUGUCAGUGCCACCUCUCCAUUCAGUGCCUCUUCACAUUGGACCUUUGAAGUGGCAAGAGUGUACUCACAUUGUCUUAGCUAGGGUUUCUACUGCUAUGAUAAACACUAUGAUAUAGCUUGGAUGAUGAUUAGUUACUGUUCCAUUGCUGUGAAGAGACGCCAUGACCAAGGCAAUUUUUAAUAAAGAAGGCAUUUAGCACAGAGGGCUUGCUCACAGUUUCAGACGAUUAAUCCAUGAUCAUCAUGGUGGGAAGCAGGCAAACAGGAUGCUAGUGCAAUAGCUGAGAGCUUUACAUGCGGGUUCACAGACAGCAGGCAGAGAAGAUGAGACACUAAAAGGCCUGGCUUGCCUUUUUAACCUUAAAAUACAUUUUCAGUGACAUAUCUCCUCCUAAAAACCCACACCUCCUAAUCCUUCUCAAAUAGUUCCACUCCCUGGUGAUUAAAAAUUCAAAUAGAUGAGCGAAUGGGUGACAUUCUUAUUCAAACCACCACAGGGGAAGAAAGGGUUUAUUCAAGCUUACAACUCUCAGAUCAUAUUCUACUGAAGGAAGCCAGCGUAAGGAUCUGGAGGUAGGAACUGUUGCAGAGUCCAUAAAGGGGUGCUGCUUACUGGCUUGUUCAUCAUGGCUUGCUUAGCCUGCUUCCUAAUAGCACCCAGGACCUCCAGCCUAGGGAUGACACUGUCCACAGUGGGCUGGGCCUUCUCACAUCAGUCAUCAAUCAAGAAAAUGCACUACAAGCCAUUCAGGUGGGGGUCAUUUUCCCUUUUCUCAAAUAACUCUAUACUGACCAGGAUGCAUGUAAAGAAUGCCAAGACCCAGCUGCGCUGCUUCUCUGUAAUGGCUCACGUGACACUGGAUUUGCUGUUCACAAUGUAUCAAAGGAAGGUGGUGGUCACCUCACUGCUGCAGUUCAUCCAGAUUCUUCAGCCAGGUCCCAGAGCAAUGCUUAACCAACAGUCCUCGCAGGGCGUUGGUGGCGCACGCCUUUAAUCUCAGCACUCAGGAGGCAGAGGCAGAGGCAGAGGCAGGUGGAUCUCUGUGAGUUCAAGGCCAGCCUGGUCUCCAGAGCGAGUGCCAGGAUAGGCUCCAAAGCUACACAGAGAAACUCUGCCUCGAAAAAUCAAAAACAAAAACAAAAAAACAAAACCAACAGUCCUCCUCAGGACCCAUGCCAACUUCUCUAAUCAAGCCUCCUUGGAGGUGAUGAAGGGAAACACGUUUUCCUCAUGCCUCCAGGUAAUUUUUACUAUGCACUGCACCCACAAAAUUUCUCUCUGACAAGGCUUCUGCUUUUAGUAGAAGUCGAUGAACUGUUAACAGGUGGGGCUGUUGAACAUAAGUAGCAUUUUUUCAAAACAUCAGAUAUAGAAGCAUAAAUUUAUUUGGGGAGAUAUUUGCAGAAUGUCCAUGAUCAUCUCUAAAAGCUAACACAACAGUAGCUCCUAGAGAAGAUAUUCUUGAUUGAUAUCAUGUGUGAACAAGAGUGGCAUGCUGUCAAUUCUCAGGUGAUUGACACCAGAGAGCCCAGUAUGAACAAAUGGUUACAAGCGGAGUGUACUUAGUACAGUAUUGGGGUCUGGCAUUCGGUUUGCAUUUCUGUCUUUGCCCCUUUGUUUCAGUCUCUUUCUUUGUUUGCCAUCUUGACUUUUCUGAGCAGCUGACUGAUUUUGUUACAGAGUGCAUCUGUUGUUUGGCUUACACCCCUGGCUUUCUGUAACCCAUAGUCUCAGUUACAGACACUGCCAGUAUUUACCCCUUGAAGCAUAUGUAGCUAAAGCUAAAAGGAAAAAUAGUAGCCUGUUUUAAAUCUUUCACCACCAUGUUCAGGUCAUAUGAAAAAGUUUGUGAUAGAAAAAUCCCAUGUUCAGUUAGAUCCACAACCCCAAGCCCUGGUCUGACCUUGCUCAUCUUUUCACCUCCUUGCUUCUGUUCUUUUGCUGCUUUCCUUUAUCUUAUAUAAUGUGGCCACACACUGUGCCCCACCCACUAUUUUACUUUUUAAUCAUUCUCUUCCUCUGUCUUUCUUUGUCCCAGGUCUGACAUAGCUCUGUUUGGAUCCUUUCCCUUUAUCUUUUAGGUCAAGGUUUUUAAAAAUUGUUCCAACUCUGAGACGUCCUGCUUGUUUGCAUGAUGAGUACUCUUCCAACUGGUUAAACCCAGUCUCUUGCCUGACCCUGCUCUGAGAGGCUGGCUUCUGUGGACUGCAUCACUCAGGCUCCUUCGCCCUCCGAGUCUGUUUGGUUUAGGCCAGUUUGGGAAGCAUUGGCAAAAGAUCAAAGGAAGGAAAGAGUCCAGAAUAUUUACUCCCUCCCUGUGACUGCAGCUUCAUCUACUAGGGCCUGCAGCUCCUGCCAGAUACCUGUGUCUUGUAGCCAAGUUCUAGAAACUGCUUAUCUCCCUUGUACCUUCAGGCCUAGAGAUGUCACGAUUAGAUUCUCUGUCAUUCUCUGUCCCUUCCCUUUAAAGUUGUCUCCACCUUUGUAAGAACUCUCCUCAUUAAACUCUCUUCAGUUAUCCUUUGAAGGUGCCAUCUGCUUCCUGCCAAGGACCCUGAGUAAUAUGUAAGUGGGAAUUAGAAAUUGUAUUCAACCUUGUCAACAAAGAGUACCGGUCCCAUUGAUUCUACAUUAAAAUUUGAAUGUGAGACUCACCAACAUCUGCAGAGCCUUGAUCCAAUGACCUGCUCACUGGUCCUCUGUUCUGCUCAUCUAACCCACAAGGUGGAUGUUUCUGUGAUGAACUUAGCCCUGCCUGAAUCAUUCCAGCUGCCUCCCUACUUUAAGAUUAUCUGCCCACUGAAUCUAGCCACUGCAAGACAAUGGGUGUGGAACUCUCUGCUGGAGUCUUUUGGACUUCCCAGUGGGUGCACAACUGAAAAAAAAAAAGUGACAGUCUCUUCCACAGCUUCUGUCAAUAGCCAGUAGUUCCCCAAGGAGGGAAUUACGGCGUGGGUUCGAAUAAUUGUUUCAUCUUCAGAAACCUCACUUUAUUGAUGAUAAAGUCAUCUCUGGAUGCACCAUAGCUACCUCACUGUGGUGGGUGUCAGAAGAGGAACCUGAUUGGAGGAUGCUGUAGCAGCUGAUCACAGUGUCUGCAAGCACAGACUAACCCAACAUCACAGAAGAGGAAGUGCAAAAGCUUCGAAGGGUCCUUUCCAGAUGAAUUGCCCACAACACACGACUUCCCAUUAUAUUUCAGCACCAUGCACAUUGCACUCAUAUGUUACAUCCCAGAACCAAGGAAGAAAAGAUUUGUUUUUUUCUUUUAUGAAUAAAAUAAGCAUCUUUAACAUGACCCAAUAAAGCAAAACAACAACAAAAAUGGCGGCUCACUGUUGCUAGUAUACUAUGUAGAAUGGGAAGGAGUCUCUGUUACUCAUGAAUGUUAGUACUCAUGACAGAAUAUCUUUGGAAUUUUGGAG